UACAGAGGUCCCGAGCGUUGUUCGGAUUCACUGGGCGUAAAGGGUGCGUAGGUGGUUGGGUAAGUCUGAUGUGAAAUCUCCGGGCUCAACCCGGAAAUGGCAUUGGAUACUAUUCGGCUAGAGGUUUGGAGGGGGGACUGGAAUUCUCGGUGUAGCAGUGAAAUGCGUAGAUAUGACAUAGAACACCAAUUGCGAAGGCAGCUUACUACCCGAAUAUUGACACUGAGGCACGAAAGCGUGGGGAUCAAACAGG
rnacentral:rRNA from 1 species